UUUAUGCAGAAUUUUGAGAAAUAAUAAACAUAUCUAAUAUGCAGCAGAUUAUUUUAAAUGCAAUGGACUUUUCUAGAUGUCUGUUUUUUCUCAUCAAACUCAGCCACGCCACUCGUCAUUUUGAAUUCCCUCGCUUUUUUCACAUUUGCCUGACCCGGGACAAAUGGAGAUGCUGUUGGACUCUAUACAAAUGUUUCAGCCCUCACACAGCUGGAUACGCGCCUCUCCAAUAAGAGCAGCAGGAUUAACUUUGAGGUGUUGGGUUGCAAACCAAUCAGGAGGCAGGAUUAGAUGCUCAGGUUCAGUUACUUGAGUACCUGUUCCGCUCAGCUUUCUGUGACAGAGGUCAACCUGUGGUCAAAUGGUGACCACACACCAAACGCACUGAAAGGCAAGACUACGUCCAUCUGCGGACACGCUUCCUUUCUUUGGACCAGCUUUUGUUUGAUAGUUGGACCAAUUUCACCUCUCAAAAAUUAAACAGAUUUAUUUGGA